rnacentral:rRNA from 1 species
AGUGAACGCUGGCGGCGUGGUUUAGGCAUGCAAGUCGAACGAUACCGCAAGGUAUAGUGGCAAAAGGGUGCGUAACACGUGAGCAAUCUACCUUUGAGUGGGGAAUAACCUUGGGAAACCGGGGCUAAAACCGCAUAUGACUACGGAUAGGCAUCUAUCUGUGGUAAAAGACAGGGACCGCAAGGCCUGUCGCUUGAAGAUGAGCUCGCGUCCUAUCAGCUUGUUGGCGGGGUAACGGCCCACCAAGGCUUUUGACGGGUAGCUGGUCUGAGAGGAUGGUCAGCCACAUUGGGACUGAGAUACUGCCCAGACUCCUACGGGAGGCUG